UGAGGAAGUGAAGGUUGGCGGAGGACUUCAGGAACCCCAUGGAAAAUCCGUUUGGUGGUAGCUCCAUUUCAAGCGCUUUUAAAAUGGUACCUGCAUGUGUUGAAAAGACUUCAGAGAGUGAAAAUGGUGUCUUAGAAGCCAGAACAUCACAGUAGAAUGGGGAAGGGGAAAAACACUUCAGAGUCGUCCAGAGACUUUACAGUCAAUUCCACAAGAGCCUAAGGAAGAGCUUCGCGGUGGGCAUCUGAUGCUGAGCCCGGCAGCAGAGCUCUGCCUGCUUGUAGGGCAGCCCCAUAGGGACAAGCAUGCUGAUCUUUCACUUCUUGAGGAAUUUGUGUAUCAGUCGUUGUAUUUGCGUGGAUGAUCUCAUUCAGUGAAUCCCCACAACGCCUGGUGAGAUGGAUGCCAUUCUCCUAACUUGACAGAUGAGGAAUCAAGCUUGGUCAUUUACGCCCAGUUCUGGUGAUGGUUUCACUUCUGACAGAAGCCAUCCCUCAAGAGCAAAUGUGCAGUCGAAGAAACAGAUCUCAUGACAUAUAGCAACUGAGAGGUCGGCUUAAGAUCGUGCAUUAGUGAGGUUAGAAAAAGGACCUUCUUCAAAACCUUCUGGGCUUCCCUGGUAGCUCAGUGGUUAAGAAUCCGCCUGCCAAUUCAGGGGACAUGGGUUCGAGCCCUGCUCCGGGAAGAUCCCACAUGCCGCGGAGCAACUAAGCCCGCGCGCCUAGAGCCCGUGCUUCGCGACGAGGAGCCACCGCAGUGAGAAGCCCGCGCGCGCAGCAACGAAGACCCAACGCAGCCAAAAUAAAUAAAUAAAAACCUUCUCCCACGCUGCCAUGUACAGUACAACUGAGGGGUGAUUGAUUGAUAUAUCACCAGCAUUAGGGAUCAGUGCUGAUCCUGUUGGAACUGAUAGGGUCAGGAAUGGUAAGACUAGGAAAGGCACCUGUGCAGACAUAGAAGAUGAGAAGUCUGAAUUCCCUCCCUAGCAUGUACAGACACGGUAGCCCUGUGACAAGGUAAUUUAUGCUCUGGCCUCCCGGGCUCAUUAAUAUAUAGCAGAUGUGCUUUACUUACCAAGCUCUGGUUGUCUGGCAGCAUGACAAUGAUCUGUGCGUUAUGAUCCCAAAUCAUUCGCCAGAAAUCUUUCGUAGUAUGUGGCAGAGGAUGCUGGGUUAUGAUAAAUUCAUUGCUCCUGUAAUAGCCCUUCAGUUAGGAAGACGA